UACAGAGGUCCCAAGCGUUGUUCGGAUUUACUGGGCGUAAAGGGUGCGUAGGUGGUGAGGUAAGUCUGAUGUGAAAUCUCCGAGCUUAACUCGGAAAUGGCAUUGGAAACUACCUUGCUAGAGGGUUGGAGGGGGGACUGGAAUACUUGGUGUAGCAGUGAAAUGCGUAGAUAUCAAGUGGAACACCAGUGGCGAAGGCGAGUCCCUGGACAACUCCUGACACUGAGGCACGAAAGCUAGAGGAGCAAACAGG
rnacentral:rRNA from 1 species